rnacentral:rRNA from 1 species
GUUCUUUGUAAAUUAUUUCGUGCAUGGAAUAAUAGAAUAUGAUCUCGGUUCUAUUUUGUUGGUUUUCAGAACUCCGAGGUAAUGAUUAAUAGGGAUAACUGGGGGCAUUCGUAUUGCGACGUUAGAGGUGAAAUUCUUGGAUCGUCGCAAGACGAACAUCAGCGAAAGCAUUUGCCAAAGGUGUUUUCAUCAAUCAAGAACGAAAGUUGAGGUUCGAAGGCGAUUAGAUACCGCCCUAGUUCUAACCGUAAAUAUGUCAUCUAGCGAUCCGCCGACGUUACUACAAUGGCUCGGCGGGCAGCUUCCGGGAAACCAAAGAUUUUUGGACUCCGGGGGGAGUAUGGUUGCAAAGCUGAAACUUAAAGGAAUUGACGGAAGGGCACCACCAGGAGUGGAGCCUGCGGCUUAAUUUGACCCAACACGGGAAAUCUCACCAGGCCCGGACACCGGAAGGAUUGACAGAUUAACAGCUCUUUCUUGAUUCGGUGGGUGGUGGUGCAUGGCCGUUCUUAGUUGGUGGAGCGAUUUGUCUGGUUAAUUCCGGUAACGAACGAGACUCUAGCCUGCUAAAUAGGCGUCGUCAUUUAGGUGUGCGUGGCUCCGUCACGCAACUCACUGGCGACGUAUUAAAAUUCUUCUUAGAGGGACCGGCGGCUUCGAGCCGCACGAGAUUGAGCAAUAACAGGUCUGUGAUGCCCUUAGAUGUCCUGGGCCGCACGCGCGCUACACUGAAGGAAUCAGCAUGUUCUCCCUGGCCUAGAGGCCCGGGCAACCCGCUGAAACUCCUUCGUGCUGGGGAUUGGGGUUUGCAAUUAUCCCCCAUAAACGAGGAAUUCCUAGUAAGCGCGAGUCAUAAGCUCGCGUUGAUUACGUCCCUGCCCUUUGUACACACCGAUCCGCCGUCCAUUAUGUGAAUGAUGUCGAUGUCGUAUUCCUCGACGAUUUAUAUACUAAAUUUAAUGACGUAAAAUGCAAUAAAAAUUCAA